UAUAUGCACUAUCAGAAUCUCACUUUCUCACCUUCCCUUCACCGUACGCAGAAUCACAUCCUCAUUCUCAAAUUUCAAUGACCAUUUUCAUUCUUUUCUCUAAAUCUAGGGUUAGGAAUUCAAGAUCCGUAUUCAAUUUUAAGAAAAUUUAUGAAACCCUAAACCCCCUUUUGAUUCCGAUCGGAGAUCCAAGAAAAAGAUGAAGAGUACGACAUGAUAAUUUCGGGAACUGGUAUCAAGGAAUGCAUUCUUAGUGGUCUUCUCUCUGUCGAUGGCCUCAAGGUUCUUCACUUGGAUAGAAAUGACUAUUACGGAGGAGAAUCCACCUCGCUCAAUCUUAUUCAGGUCUUCUUUAGGGUAGAAUCAAACCAUUGAGAUUUAGAGGUGAAUUCCUUUCUUUCUUUUUUUAGGCAAAAUAUGUGAGUUUGUAUCUUUCAUCCUAUACAUGAUAGGGAAUAAUGGGCUCAUGUGAUCUAUGUAUCUGACUGCAUCUGGUGGGAAAAUAUCUCUUUGUUCUUUUUGUAUCUAUGCCAUGCCAUGAAUUUACUUGAUAUGAUUUAAUUUCAUUAGUAUUAGAAGCUUUAUGUUUCCCUGAUAAAACUUUUAUGAUCCUUUGCUGUAAAUGCUUGUCCUAAGAAACCAUAAAAGAUGCACAAAGGUGGAUGAGCUGAAAGGUUCUAUAAUUUACUUUUCUUGUCGUAUGAUUAACGUUUUGAGAUUUUGAACAAUAUUAUCUUCCAACUCAUUGAGACAUUUGUUGCAUAUAAAAUCUAGUAUUGUAAUCGGAAUUUUUCAGAGACUAACUUGAACCUUUAUUAUACCAAUUGCUGAUUCGAAAAUGCAUAUGGUUGGGGAAAACACCUUUCUAAAACAAAAAUCCCAUCAUAUAUGAUUGAUGUAAUAAGGUGAUGAUUGCACACAAGGAAGUUGUUGUUCAAGCAAUUGUUGUUUAUCUAUUAACGAGAUUGUCGGAUACACCAUACCAAAUCAUCAUUUUGUGCUUGGCUCUCGUUCGCCACGCAGACAGAGAAAUCCCAUGUAGCAACUUUACCACAUCUUUUUCCACUCAUGCUUAUAUACAAACAUUUUUCACUUGUCUGACAUCAAUUUUCUUGUUGUCAAGGUGCUUCUAUAUUAUGCGACCAACACACUGAAUGCACGUAUUCAAGAGUUUAGAAAGUAGGACUUUGUUAUGCUUAUCUAGUCGUUAGAAACCAGGCCUUUAGAAACCCGUUACUGCCAAAUGAUGAAAAGUAUCUCCAUGAUGGUUGGUUAACAAUGCUAGUGAAGGAGAUGCAUUUAUCAUAAUUUCUAGCACAGUGAGGAUCAGGGGUAUAGACGGUUCCGUUGCGGGCAUGUUUGUUGAUAAAUUGGAUGCUCAGGCCCGGAGAGAUAAGGCAGAGGCAGAGGCUUCCCAACUACGGGCUGGAAGACAUCCUCCAACUGGUUCUCACCAAAAAUGGUUGGCUAAGCAUACGUAAUAUCGCACACUCAUACGUCGGACUGCUAGAGUUGCUACUACGAAGGAGGCACCUGCACCUGUUCCUGUGACUGAGCAGAUACCUAUGGAGGAGCCAGUUGUUCAUGUACCCUCUGUGGAGGAGCCAACUGCAGAGGUACCAGCUGUGGAGCCAGCUGUAGAGGUGUCUGCUAUGGUGGAGGAGGUACCUGAUGUGGAGGAGCAGGUACCCGUUAUGGAGUUGGUUGUUGAGGAGGCUCUUGCGACGGUUGGUGGGGUGUCUCCUAUUGAUAUAUAUGCCACGACAUGUGCGUCUAUAUAGUCAUCAGUUCACAUUGAUGGAGCCUUUCCAGGAGGACCUACUGACAGGUCCGUGCUCACAGGAUAUAAUGACCAUGUCACAUUUCGUAUAUGGCAGGGCGAGGAACGUCUGACGCUAAAGGUCACAUCCCAUGGCUCAAAGUUGAAGAAUUUUCCAGAGGGUAGAUGCCUAAGCAGGUCAGUCGUAUUGUUACCGACUUUAGCCUGCUGGAGUUCGCUGAAUGCUCACUUACCAUGCUCGACGCCUCCCUCCUAUCAUCUUUUGUUGAGUGGUGGCACCCUGAGACCUCAUCCUUUCAUCUUCCCAUUUGGGGAGAUGACUAUCACAUUGGAUGAUGUCUCGUCGUUGUUUCAUAUUCCCAACGUUGGUACAUUCUUCAUUGGUCCUCAUAUUAACCAAGGUGCGACGCUGGAACAUGUUAUAGAGGAUCUAGAGGUUGAUGAAGGUGUGGAGCUUGAGGAGUUUGCCACUAACAGAGGCUUGCACCUUCAGAUGUCUUGACUGAGGAAGAGGUACGAUGAUCUUGUGGCGGUAGAGAGGUAUGAGGCAGCCGCUAGGGCGUACAUGCUACAUCUAAUGGCAUGUACUCUCUUUGCAGAAAAAUCUGGUGUUUAUAUAGAUGUUCGCUACCUUUGGUUAUUCAGUAGCCUAGACACUCCAAAUUGGGCUUGGGGAGUGACAUUGUUGACUAUGUUAUACACUGCACUUGGAGUUGCUUCUCAUCCUGAGACCAGACAAUUAGCUGGUUAUUUGACCCUAUUACAAUGUGAAAUAUACGAGCAUUUCCUCUACAUAUGUGAUAGGAGACUACAUCGUGUUCCAACAAGUGCUCCAUUGGUGAGGAGAUGGAAAGGCAUGCAUGUGGUUUGUGGUGGUUUUAUGGAGUUAAUGAGGAUGCUUGAUGUGCUGAUAGUAGAUGAUGUCAUUUGAACACCAUAGUCGGUGCCCCGUCCCCAUUGCCCAUUUGACAAUGCAGCAUUGUAUUCAGGGCAUAUGAGGUGGGAGAACCACGUGGCUAGACACCUGCCUAAGAGGUUUCUGCGACAGUUUGGUUUUGUCCAGGGUAUCCCUCGUCCAGUACCUGAGGCUCCAUCUAGUAGGAAUGACAGAUGGUUUCAGAGCCACAUCAUCAACUCUGCCCGUGAGAUUAGAGCUAGCGCCGUUUUGGUACAACAUCCUUCACAGUGCAAGGAUGGUUACUUAGAGUGGUAUCACAGUAUAUCACACGCUCGCCUCAUACCAUCGACUGCAUGGUCUUCUAAUAUUUCGAGGCCUUCUAGUUCUAGGGUUUCUGAUGUUGAGGUACGGGCUGACGAUGUUUCACCGCCACCACCUCCACCUCCCGCAGGGGACUAGGAUAGGCCUGCAAUUGAUUGUUCUUCUUGUAGAUAACCUCACGGGUUUGGUAAACCUGGAUGGUGAGGUUUUUACAGGUUUAUCUAGGAUAACCAACAUAGCCCGUAUGAGGUCUAUGUAGCUGUGCUAUAUAUUUUGUGACACAUACUUGUUAUCGCCGUACUUAUUUAUUGCAUAACAUUUUGGGGAUUAUGUGAUUCAAAGAUGAACACAACAUAAAACAGUACAAAAAACAUAAUAUAAAAAACACUAAACAUGAAAAACUAGGUACUACCAGAUGAUUCUGAACAUUUCAAUAUCUUCAUUAUAUCAUUGACGGAUCUUAUUAUCUGUGCAUCCAACUCGACCGGACGUUUAGUUAUCCUACGGCGAAAUGAUUUUUACAUGGACUUGACAUCUUCAUCGGUCUUCAACUUAAUCAAGUUGUAUUUCACCCUUCCAUUAAUAUAAAUCCAAUCUUCAUGAAACUCGAUCUUCCUCACCCUUCUGUUAUCUGUAUGAGGCAUUAAUUCAUUCAACUUGUCUGUCAAAUUGGGGAGAGGUGUGGCGUCAUCCGGAAGCUUGAAUUCAACCGGAGGGUUGUAUCCGUUGAAAUACAUUUCUGUCUUAAUCAGAAAUUGAGGAAGGUGCAUUUUUUGAGAUGGAUUUUUCUAUAACAUAUGCCCUUAUUUAUACAAAUGAGAAUUCAUUUUAGAUCACAUAAAUUUGUAGGUGCAGUCAGAAUCCUCCAAAUAUGUUGGCAAAAUCCUUACUGUCGAAA